rnacentral:rRNA from 1 species
UACAGAGGUCUCAAGCGUUGUUCGGAUUCACUGGGCGUAAAGGGUGCGCAGGUGGUUUGGCAAGUUUGACGUGAAAGCCCCGGGCUUAACCCGGGAACGGCGUUGAAAACUGCUUGAACUGGAGGGUUGGAGGGGGACUGGAAUUCUUGGUGGUAGCAGUGAAAUGCGUAGAUAUCAAGAGGAACACCGGUGGCGAAGGCGCACAUCGUGGCCCGAUACUGACGCUGAGGCGCGAAAGCUAGGGGAGCAAACGGG